rnacentral:rRNA from 1 species
UACGUAGGGUGCGAGCGUUAAUCGGAAUUACUGGGCGUAAAGCGUGCGCAGGCGGUUUUGUAAGCCAGAUGUGAAAUCCCCGGGCUUAACCUGGGAAUGGCAUUUGGGACUGCAAGGCUGGAGUGCGGCAGAGGAGACUGGAAUUCCUGGUGUAGCAGUGAAAUGCGUAGAUAUCAGGAGGAAUACCGAUGGCGAAGGCAGGUCUCUGGGCUGACCCUGACGCUCAUGCACGAAAGCGUGGGGAGCAAACAGG